AGAGUUUGAUCCUGGCUCAGAUUGAACGCUGGCGGCGUGCCUAACACAUGCAAGUCGAGCGGUAACAGGUGUAGCAAUACAUGCUGACGAGCGGCGAACGGGUGAGUAAUGCUUUGGAAUCUUCCCAGUAGUGGGGAAUAACCAGUCGAAAGAUUGGCUAAUACCGCAUACGUCUGUAAAGGGAAAGCGGGGGCUCGUAAGACCUCGCGCUAUUGGAUGAGCCAAAGUCGGAUUAGCUAGUUGGUGGGGUAAUGGCCUACCAAGGCGACAAUCCGUAGCUGGUCUGAGAGGACGACCAGCCACACCGGAACUGAGACACGGUCCGGACUCCUACGGGAGGCAGCAGUGGGGAAUAUUGGACAAUGGGGGAAACCCUGAUCCAGCGACGCCGCGUGUGUGAAGAAGGCCUGCGGGUUGUAAAGCACUUUUAGUGGGGACAAAAAGCUACGGAUUAAUACUCUGUGGUCUUGAUUUAACCCAAAGAAAAAGCACCGGCUAACUCUGUGCCAGCAGCCGCGGUAAUACAGAGGGUGCGAGCGUUAAUCGGAAUUACUGGGCGUAAAGCGCGCGUAGACGGUUUUGUAAGUCAGAUGUGAAAUCCCUGGGCUCAACCUGGGAACUGCAUUUGAGACUGCAUGGCUAGAGUAUCGAAGAGGGAAGUGGAAUUUCCGGUGUAGCGGUGAAAUGCGUAGAUAUCGGAAGGAACACCAGUGGCGAAAGCGACUUCCUGGUCGAAUACUGACGUUCAUGUGCGAAAGCGUGGGGAGCAAACAGGAUUAGAUACCCCAGUAGUCC
rnacentral:rRNA from 1 species